rnacentral:misc_RNA from 1 species
GCCUGUUUGUUGUGGAAGAUUGGGUACUAUUCUAUCUCUAUUCUCUUCAUAUUACCUGAUACUUGUACAUAUAUGAACUUGCUAAUUUGAGGUGGUCAGCAUAUUCAUAUCUCAGUUAUCAUAAUAAUGUUUCCAUUAUUUUCUCUAUUGACAAUUCCCAUUACUGCUAUUGAUUUGUGAACUGUAGACUGGUUUCUAUCCCAUUAAGACAUAAACCAUGCUCAUCAAGCAUCUCUUGUCAUGUUUGAAUGGUCAAAUAAAGAAUUAUUAAUGCUUUUUUUGCGAUUGUUAUGUUCAAGUGUCUUAUAAUAUUUUACAGACUAAAGAAUCUGAAGGUGAAGAAAAACUUUUCUUCUAUUUUUUCAGUGCUCUCCAUGACUAUGCGGAUAGCCACAUUAGAUAUUGUUUUGUCCUAUGAACUUCCAAGCAGAUUUGUUGUUCAUAAUGCUUCCAUAUAAUUAGGGGCGUGCAAAUAGUCGAUUUAGCUUCAAAUUGAACUGAAUUAGAAAAACUAAAAAACCAAAAUGCAUUUUAUAAAAAAAUCAAAUUGAACCAAACCAAAUUAAUUGAUUAUUUUUCCAAUUUUGACAAUCAUACAAAAACAAUUUUUCUUCCAAACAAAAUCCAGUUCUUUCAAUUUCAACAAUCAAACAAAACCCAACAAAGUAUAUAACAAAUUGUAUCGCAAUCAAACUUCACCCAAACUCAUUUUCAACAAUUAAAUAAACAGAUUUCUCCCAAACAAACUCAAAGCUUUGCAACCCAUUCAAACUUUCAAAGCCAUGCAAUCAUCAACACUACAACAAGCUUUUGAGCUCAGAAGUAGAUAACCUUACAAAUUAUCCAAUAACAACAAAGGUCAAAAUCAUGAAAUGAAAAAAAAAAAAAGAACAAGGAUAACCAACCUGAUCAGAGAGAACCCUAAUGGACUUGUCAAGGAACCCCCAAAAUAUUUGAAUCAAUUUCCUAGAACCCUCACAAUAAGAUUAUUCUACUUAAAAUCACUUAACCCAAAACCAACC